GUCGAACGGCAGCACGGGUGCUUGCACCUGGUGGCGAGUGGCGAACGGGUGAGUAAUAUAUCGGAACGUGCCCUGUAGUGGGGGAUAACUAGUCGAAAGAUUAGCUAAUACCGCAUACGACCUGAGGGUGAAAGUGGGGGACCGCAAGGCCUCACGCUAUAGGAGCGGCCGAUAUCUGAUUAGCUAGUUGGUGGGGUAAAGGCCUACCAAGGCGACGAUCAGUAGCUGGUCUGAGAGGACGAUCAGCCACACUGGGACUGAGACACGGCCCAGACUCCUACGGGAGGCAGCAGUGGGGAAUUUUGGACAAUGGGCGAAAGCCUGAUCCAGCAAUGCCGCGUGUGUGAAGAAGGCCUUCGGGUUGUAAAGCACUUUUGUCCGGAAAGAAAUCCCUUGGGAUAAUACCUCGGGGGGAUGACGGUACCGGAAGAAUAAGGACCGGCUAACUACGUGCCAGCAGCCGCGGUAAUACGUAGGGUCCGAGCGUUAAUCGGAAUUACUGGGCGUAAAGCGUGCGCAGGCGGUUUUGUAAGACAGAUGUGAAAUCCCCGGGCUUAACCUGGGAAUUGCAUUUGUGACUGCAAGGCUAGAGUGUGUCAGAGGGGGGUAGAAUUCCACGUGUAGCAGUGAUAUGCGUAGAGAUGUGGAGGAAUACCGAUGGCGAAGGCAGCCCCCUGGGAUAACACUGACGCUCAUGC
rnacentral:rRNA from 1 species